rnacentral:rRNA from 1 species
AACGUAGGAGGCGAGCGUUAUCCGGAUUUACUGGGUGUAAAGCGCGUGCAGGCGGUUUGGUAAGUUGGAUGUGAAAGCUCCUGGCUUAACUGGGAGAGGUCGUUCAAUACUACCAGACUUGAGGGCGGUAGAGGGAGGUGGAAUUCCGUGUGUAGUGGUGAAAUGCGUAGAUAUACGGAGGAACACCAGUGGCGAAAGCGGCCUCCUAGACCGAUCCUGACGCUCAGACGCGAAAGCUAGGGUAGCAAACGGG